UUUUUUUCUCUACUUCCGUUAAGAAGUUAACAUCGCAUUUCGCUGUCAAAUUGUUUGGAACACACUCUGUUCGAAGAAUACUGGUUAUUGUCAAGUGAAUCGUGUAUGUGCUGAGAAGUAUUGUGUUAUUUGCGACAUGAAAGACGAACGUAAAAUAGCAACAUUGGGUGAAAAAUGUGUAGAUAGUUAAUUUCUGCAGCCAGGAAUAAAGGAGAUCAAAUGUAUGUUAGGCCUGAGAAAAAUGUGUGCUAUGAGUGUAGAAAAAUUACUGCCACCCGAAUCUACUGGGAGAUGCAAACGGUACCUCUAUAACGUAGCGAAACGGACACAUUCAUCUGACUUCUUUUCAUUUCAAAUGCCUGUGCUGUGGUACAGAUGCCAAACAAAAUGACAAAAAGGCAUAUUAUGAUUUCCAAAUUUCAGUCAACAAUAAAGAAAAAUUGGAACCGAAGUCUUCUGUUGACUCUAAUCCGUACAUGAUCUAACAGCAAUUGGUGCAAGAUAUCAUCAAAAAUGUAGCACACAUUUCAGAACAGGAUGUCAAGUUCCGACUCAACAUCUAACACCUCAAAAUACUGUAAAACGUACUAAAGGUAGACCAAAAAAGAAUCAUCCGAAGAGGCAUUUUUGAAAACCAUGCAUUAUUUUGAAAACACUGAAAGUGAGCAAAUAGCUUAAAUUAUUAAAUGAUCCCAGUCAGAGUCUUUGUAAAUAAACACUCUUAACAUGAUGACAUUGAAACAGUUGGUAGUAUAUCAUUCAUAAUUAUGUAUGUGCAAAGGUAAAACAAAUGAAACAUUAAACACAGGUACAGAAAAUUCAUUACGAAGGCAACAAGCACACCGAUAGUAAAGAUACAAAGCCUAACUCCUACAGAGGCAACUUGACUUGGGAUGGUACAAACGUGGUGAUAAACUUGUUCCUUGGCACAGAGGUUGUUCUUCUGGGAUGGCUGUAGAUGUCAUGACAUUAACACUUAACUGACUUUCAUAAUCUUGAGAGAGCAAUGAAAAGUUUUGCGAACAUACUAACUUUAUAAUAGAGCAUAUGUUUACAGUAUAUCGCAUCGCAGAGUUUUGUUCUCACAUUUUUGUGCAUUACGGCUUUGUGUACAUAUGCUGUUAGCUGAAAAUUGUAGUUUAGUAUCGAUUUUAAAACACUUUUAACAUUUUACUGUAGUGACCUGUUCUAUAUAUACUAUAGUACAGUCACUGUUGAUCUAGGAUUCUUUUCCUGAAUGUUUCUUAAUAUACUGUUGUUAUUAUAACAUUUAUCACAUUUAGUGCGAGUUUCAAGGAAAUAGUUUAAAGAUAUUGCAUGCACGUUUUAUUGAUGGGUGGACCCGCCCGCUUAGCUCUUUAGGAAGAGCACCGAUCUACGGAUCGCGGGGUCGUGAGCUGGAUCCUCGGGCGGGCCGUAUGUUCUCCAUUACGACUUGAUAAAAGACAUUGUGUCUGAAAUCAUUCAUCCUCCACCUCUAAUUCAUGUGGGGAAGUUGGUAGUUACUUGCGGAUAACAGGUUUGUACAGGUACAGAAUCCAGGAACACUGGUUAAGUUAACUGCCUGCCGAUACAUAACUGAAAUACUGUUUAAAAACGGCGUUAAAUUCAACAAAAUAAAAUUGAUGGGUGGGGUAAAUCUAUAGUGUAAAUUAAUGCAUUUAUUAGUAAAUGUCACAACAAAGUAUAGUAUCAGCUUUAAUUUAUGUGAUAUUUCAUAUAAUCAAUGCCUCUGAUCGGAGAAAUAAACCAACGUAUAGUUUUAAACUAAUGUAUUUUGCCCAAUGAUUGAACCUCUUGGUUCGUCUGAAUCAUUGAAUUGCAAAGAGGGUGCCCUUCAUAAUCUCAAUUUUUAAGAUUUUCCAAUGGGAAUUUUUUUGAGGACUUUCUUUCUAAAAUGCUCUAAUGUUUAAAGAUUAUAAAACAAUAAAAACAUUUCAUGUU